GUGGGGAAUAUUGGACAAUGGGCGCAAGCCUGAUCCAGCCAUGCCGCGUGAGUGAUGACGGCCUUAGGGUUGUAAAGCUCUUUCGCACGCGACGAUAAUGACGGUAGCGUGAGAAGAAGCCCCGGCUAACUUCGUGCCAGCAGCCGCGGUAAUACGAAGGGGGCUAGCGUUGUUCGGAAUCACUGGGCGUAAAGGGUGCGCAGGCGGGUCGACCAGUCAGGGGUGAAAGGCCGGGGCUCAACCUCGGAACGGCCCUUGAAACUGUCGACCUUGAGUCCGGAAGAGGUGGGUGGAACUGCGAGUGUAGAGGUGAAAUUCGUAGAUAUUCGCAAGAACACCGGUGGCGAAGGCGGCCCACUGGUCCGGAACUGACGCUCAUGCACGACAGCGUGGGGAGCAAACAGG
rnacentral:rRNA from 1 species